rnacentral:rRNA from 12 species
AGAAGAAACUAACCAGGAUGCCCCUAGUAAUGGCGAAUGAAGCGGGCUGAGCUCACGCUGCCAAUCUGGAGGCCUCGCGUAUGCAGCGCCCCCCGAAUUGUGGUCUAGAGAGGCGUUAUCGGCCGCGCCCGCCGCUCAAGUCCCUUGGAACAGGGUGUCGGAGAGGGUGAGAAUCCCGUACCGUGGCGGGUUGCGGCCUUACGAUGCGUCCUCGUCGAGUCGGGUUGCUUGGGAUUGCAGCUUGAAUUGGGUGGUAAAUUCCAUCUAAAGCUAAAUACUGGCGAGAGACCGAUAGCGAACAAGUACCGUGAGGGAAAGAUGCAAAGAACUUUGAAAAGAGAGUUAAAUAGUACCUGAAAUUGCUGAAAUGGAACCGUUGGGAGGCAGUGUCGG